rnacentral:misc_RNA from 1 species
AUCGAGAUCGCAAAUUCAGGGACCGCCCAAGUCCUCUUGGGCCACUUGGGAAGCCCCAAAGUGUUGUGUGUGAGGAAUUGAAUUCAAGAGCACAAGAACAGCAAAGUGCUACCGAACUGCUUUCACUUGGUAGUAGACCUCCAGUUGAAGUUGCUUCCGUGGAAGAGGGGGAAGAGGUUGAGCAGGUGGCAGGGAGCCCAGGUGUUCAAAGUAGGAGCCCAGUUACUGCUCCUCUUGGUGUUUCCGUGAAUUUAGGUGGAGCUCGUAAAACUCUUUCAAAUGUUUCUAUAUGUGGUAGUCACCUUCAAGAGACUUGCCUACACACUGGUGAGCUGCCUGACACAAGAUCAUUAAGAAGUCGUUUGGAGCAGAAGUUGGAGAUGGAGGGUAUUAGUGUGUCGGUGGACUGUGUUAACUUGUUGAAUAAUGGGUUGGACAUGUAUUUGAAGAGGUUAAUCGAGCCAUGUAUGGGCUUAGCUAGCUCGCGCUGUGGAACUGAUCACUUGAAAGAGGUUAAUGAGCAGUUCACAUCUGGUUCAAAUGGGAUGUUACCUGGG